rnacentral:rRNA from 1 species
GACAGAGGGUGCAACGUUGUUCGGAAUUACUGGGCGUAAAGCGCGUGUAGGCGGCUAAGUAAGUCGGGCGUGAAAUCCCACGGCUCAACCGUGGAAGUGCACUCGAAACUGCAUAGCUAGAGUCCUGGAGAGGAAGGUGGAAUGCUUGGUGUAGAGGUGAAAUUCGUAGAUAUCAAGCGGAACACCGGUGGCGAAGGCGGCCUCUGGACAGUGACUGACGCU